GCACCCAGGGAGAAGGAGACCUUGUGCUAUCACUUAGCCCAACCGUGGGACUAAAUUUUGGCAGGGCCUUUUUACAAAAUGCUCCUAUGUGAAAUUUGUUUCCAGUGAGAACCAAACAUCUGGGAGAAUAUACAUUCCACAGCAGACUGGGAAUAGGAGCAGCCCUAGAGCAGCUGACUCUCAUCUGACUGAUGACAGAACCAAAGCGCUUCUUGAAAUGUCAGUAUUUUGCUGGAUGUCUCACAUCUAAAAAGUUUCUCAGCAGAAAAGGGACACGAACAACAGAGGAAAUGGGAAAAGGGGAGCUGUGACACCUGAAAAGUUCAUCUAUUAUAACACAAAGUGCAUUUUUGGCUUUUGGAAAAACAAUUUCUACUCUAUGUGGAUAAACAGACAACAGAAAAAAGGGCAGGGGAAGACAGAUGCUGCGUAUGCUUUCAGUCCACUGAGGGUAAGAAAGCAAUGCCAGCAUCAUCUGAGCCUGAAACUGUGACUGAAGAGAAAUACGACGCUUGUAACAUCUUCAAAAAGAGGACAUUUUUGCUUCCAUAGCCCAAGGGGAUCUCCAUCUUCCUGGCAGAGGUGUGCACAAAGCCAGUUUGUCAGCCCUAGAUGCAAAAAGUUACCAGUAAUGAGCCCAGAACACAGGUCACAGCCUGCCUGGGCUGUGGGCAGCAAAGGUGUUGGGCGUAAGCAGACCCCUGAGGGGCAGCUGCUUGGAGCUGGAUACCAACAAAAGCAUCUGAGCCCUGCAGGCUCAUGGGCUGGUUAAGGGAGAGAGGGUAGAGCUGAGGAUGGGCUGGGGUGUUCUGCAGCCUGCCAUGGGCUCCUGCUGCCUGGGAACUGAGCACUGCUGGUGGUCUUGGAGGUAUAACAUUGAUGUCGGGAGAAAUUAUUGACAGGUCAGAGCUUUGCGUGGAUGUCACAUGUAUAACAAGCAAGUUGUAUCUGCAGUAACCUGUUUCAUCAAUUUCUGCUUUACUAGAAAGUCAAUAAAAAUUGACAAU